GUAGGGGCCGGUUGGAGCCCCGGCUGCAGCGGUAACGGCCGCGUCUGGCGCGCAGGGAAGGAGAAGGAGCCCCUGGAGCAGCUUUACCGCGUGGGACCGCUGCUGGGGAGCGGCGGCUUCGGGUCCGUGUACUCGGGGGUCCGCCUGUCCGACAGCGCCCCGGUGGCCAUCAAACACGUGGCUCGGGACGCAGCAUCAGCCCCGCGGUAACGGUCGGUGCUCCCCCGGUUCCCUGCUGCCAUCUUCCGGCACCGCGGCUGUUCCUUACAACCCAAAGUUUGUCAACAAGAGUCACGUGCUGAUGACGGGACCGGGUGACACAGUGUGUGUGUGUCCCCUGGUCCACAGGCUAAGGGAAUGAUGUCUCUGUACAGCUCCAUAAAACUCACUCUGGGAAGAGUUGAGUGAGGACUAUCCCAGCACCACCUUUGAAAGCAUCAGCUCUCAGUUGGAACACCACAUGCCUAAAGCAAGGUGAAGCCUCCUGAACACAUCAGGGUAUCAUUCACACCUGCCAAGGACAUGAAGCAGAUAACCACAGGAAAUUACCAAGGACAGCACUGAAGCUGCUUAUAGAAACCACCUCAGGCAACACAGCACCUCAGAGACAGCAGCAGGCCCUGGUAAGGGUGACCCCAGCACACACAGGCCACAUUCUGCCUGACAAGUUUAUACAAACUUUGGCAGCAAAGCCUGUGCCUCUUCCUCAUCCAGGCCAAGCAAGCAGGGACACAGCUGGUCAGCCUCCCAGCCCAUGUCCCUGAAAGAUCCUGGCUCUUCCCAGGAACGGAAAACAUUUACAGGUUUAAGAGACUUAAGUAUCUAAUUUCCCUCUGGGCUGAAUUUAUCCACAGCAGUACCAAGAGAAGAUCCUUACUGCCCUGCUCACAGGCUGACUUGCAGAGCAAGAGCUAAGUUCUCCUCAGAAGGGAUAAACCAGGAGCCUCUGCUGAUGGGUGAGCAGUGACACCAACAGGCUUAAAGGGGACUAAUGGCAACACCAUAAACCACCCUUCUCUGCUUGGCUCUUAACCACAGCAUUUGGAAGCUCAGAGGGCCCCACAGGGGCAGAAAACCAGAAAACAUCCAGCUUUACUCCAUUGUCCUGCUCUGCUGCAUGCAAUGCAUUCAUCCCAUCUUUUCCACUGCCUCCUCAACAUCUGCCACUUACCUUCCUCCACCACCUCCCCAACAAAGACCUUGGAAAUGCCGGACAUGGCGAUAACCACAUUCUGAGAGACGGAGGUGCCGGUGAUGGACUGGAUCAGCUGGACAUGAGGAGGAGAGUCAGCUGAGUGAGGUACACAUGGCAAUGGUGAAGCAUUUUAACUUGUAUUUAGCAGUUUGAGCCUGUCAAGUAUCAACUGACAGCUCAAGACAUGCAGAGAACAGCAGUGACUGAUCUUUAGAAUUAGAUCUACAGGGCUGGGUACAUGCUGGCUGUCAAGGUUUUAGCUUUGCUUGUUCAGCUGCUGACCCUGAACCAGCCACUGCUUCUUCCCGUUGCCUCACAGCCCUCCAAACCAGCAUCACUUUAAAGUAAAUUCUGAUUUAACUGCAUAAGCCAUGCAAGGGCAUUGAGCUGGGACACAAUGAGAUCAGCAGAGCCAAGGACAAUGGUCUGAGCCACAGGGGCUGAGAUGCAACUGGAGGAGAGCACACCAAGGCCCAGAUAAGACGCCAGCUGGGCUUAGUAAGGCUCAGCCUGCUUGCCCUGCUCAGACUCCAUCUGUGGUGAAGCAUUACUGAUGUCAUACCCGUUUAAUGGCAGCUUUGGGGAAAGCAGAGCGCCGGUACAUCUCAUAACGGUUCAGCUGUUCUUCAGAAAAGGAAGAGACCAGUAUUCUGCAUGGAGAGCAUUGAUUAUUACAGCAAAAAUUAGCACAGAAUCCUGAAGCUCCUCAGCCUGCUGCAAGUCCUGCAAAGCCCUCUGACCCUCCCAAGCCUCCUGCCAGAGCCAGGAAGGCAGUGCUCAGGUUUGUAACACAAAGCCUGUUCAGGAGGGAUCCAGGAUGGAGCUACAGCCAUUGCUCACCACGGGCUCACACACAGAUGCAAUCACAGAAUUACUAAAUCCCAAACUGGUUUGUGUUGAAGGGACCUUAAAGUUCAUCCAGUUCCAAUCCCUGUCCCAGGCAGGGACACCUUCCAGAGAAAAACUUACUCCUUAUAUCCAACCUGCACUUCCCCUGUUUCAGUGUGAUCCCGAUUGUCCUAUUGCUCCAGUCCCUGACGAAGAGCUCCUCUCUGUAUUCACUGAUUACCGCACACAAAGCAGCAAACCCCGAGCACCGACGUCCCCCAGCCCCACUGCGCUCCUGCACUCACUGCAUUUUCUGGAUCUCGUCCUCGUCCACCUUGUGCUUCUUCUCCUUCCUCUCCUUCAGCUCCAGCUUCACCUUCUUCGCCGCUGCCUGCUGCAGGCUGGGGUCCUCCCCGUCCCCCACCUCCCUCUCCGCGCUCCUCACCUGCGCGACAGCGCAGCGGUCAGCUCCGGGCCCGGACCCCGCUCCCCGCGCCCCCAGCACGGCCUCACCUCUCCGUCCAGCCCGUCCCCCUUGGGCUCGCCGCCCGCUCCGGCCUCUCCCGGUCCGGCCUCCCCUGCUCCGGCCGCCGGCUCCUCCGCGGCCAUGGCCGGACCAUCGGGGGACGGGGACGGGGCCGCGGGCGGCGGCUCCUGCGCGGCGCCGGCCCCGAGCUCCUCCCGGCCCGCACCGUCAGGCUCCGCCAUGGCGCUCCCAGCGGCGUCGCCUCUUGAUGACGUAGGGCUGAUGCGGGGGGCGGGGCCUGUCGCCAG